rnacentral:lncRNA from 1 species
GCUUGCGGCGAGACUCUCCUGCGGGAGCGGGAGGCUUGGGCCUCUCAGGAGGGCACAGAGGUCCUUGCUGCUGCUCUUCCCUCCCCUUUUGGAAUCUUCUGGAGCAACUCUGGGAUCUCCCCACCCCGACCCCUCAUACCCAGUUCUUUAGAGUCGACCAUGGUGCCGUCACCUGGCCCCACCCUGACUCCAUUCUCCUGGCCACCCCCGACAACCCCACCACCGCCGCCAUGCCCUGGUACCAGUGCAGGUGAGCCCCACGUCUUCCUCGUGGUCACAGUUGUGCUUCCCCCAAGCCCCCGAGGGGCAGUCGCUCAGUGAGGCCUCGCUUCCCUUACAGCCCAUGUCAUCCAGCCAGAUGGGCCCAGUCCCAGGGCCGUAAUGGGUUUUGCCUACUCGAGGCCGGACCUUUCCACAGCCCAGUUCCCAGCAGGCCACAGUGGCGUCCCGCAGGUCCCAGUUGUCAUCACACACUGUUCCCCAGCGUCCGGCAUGCCACACUUCCAGCCGGCCAGCACAGCGGUUGGGCCCAUCGGCCAGACGAACCCGGAACAGGCCUGCGUGGAAGGCCCUUAGGUCAGGAGGGAGGGUCAGCCUCUCCCAUUCUCUCCCCACACCCCUCACGGCCACUCACCUGAUUCCCCAGUGGUGCUAACACUGGGAGAGGGGGCCGGGUCUUUGGGUGACUCUGGAGACCCUUCUGGGAUCUCAGCAGAUGGCUCCAGGGAGGCCUGAGGGAUACUCUUGAUAGUGGACUCAGAGGUCAUUUCUUGGGGGCCUUGAGUGGUCAGCAUUGCCAUGGUCUUAGUGGUCCGUUCUCGGGGGGCCUGAGGGGUCAGCGUGGCAGUGGUGUGAGAGGUCCAUCUCUGGGGGGCCUCCGUGGUCGGCCUUCUGGUAAACUCAGAGGUAGGUCUUCGGGAGGCCUCAGUGGUCAGUGCUGCAGUGGUCUGUGAGGUUAGGUCUGGGGGGCUUUGGGCCCUGGAGUGUUUCGUGGUUGGCAUCACUGGGGGUUGAGUGGUUGGUCUCUUUGCAUUUUUUGUCACCCACUUCUUAGUACUCUUAGGCAUUUUCCCUGGGGCCUUCGUGGUUGUUUUCUCCAGAACACUGGCAGUCACACUUGCAGAGGGCUUGGUGGCCAGCUCUCCCGGGAGCCAGGCAUCCCGAUCUCUCCCCAGUCCAGGAAUCCAGCUCCAGCUGAAGGGGUCUGAGAUGGAGUCCAGGCCUGGGGGCCCUGGAAGGUGAGUGGGGCAGGAAGAGAAGACAGAGACACCAUGAUGACAAGAUCAUCUACCCAGGCCCCUCCUUCUCUCCAGUCACUCACCCAGUUCCCAUUCAUUCAUCAUUCAUUCAUUUAUUGUCACAAAUAUUUAUUGAGCACCUCCUAUGAGCCACACACCAUAUUAGACCCUCGGGUAGCCUAUGGCAAGCCAAACCCGACACUGCCCCCGCCUUCUUGGCAUUUACAAUCUGGACAUAACUGACCCCCUCACCCUUUCACACCUGACCUCUCCUCUCCAUCUCCUCAGCUUCUGCUCUGAGUCAGGGCCUCAUUUCCUAUACCUUCUGACAGGUCUCCCUACCUCCCUGUCAAUUCUUACUGACCACCAGUGGGGUACCCAGGUCCGACAGGCCACUCCCGAACUCAGAAUCCUUCUGUGGUGCCCCCGUGGCCCUCAGGAAGACGGGGACAGAGGGAAGAGCCGUAGCUUCCAGCAGAGGUGAUGCCUCCAUCCUUUGAGACACCACUCUCCAUCUUCCAUCUUUCUGAUUAGCACACGUGUGCAGUAAAGGAUUAACCCUGCCCAAAGAAAGGUUUCGCCUUUUCCCCGGCUCCUGGGAGAUGACUUCGAAGCCUUUGGAACACCUUGCCUGAUAAGAGAUUUUUUUCCCUGGGGCACUUGGGCCAUGCCAGAUCGCCUAUGCUAACAGUGUGAUUUAUGGUCAGCCACAUGUACGUGGCCAAGUCCCCACGAACACUCUGGAUGCCAAGGCUUGGGGGAACUUCCCUAGUUGGCAGUUCCUCAUGUGUGUUGUCCCACUUCGUUGCUGGGAUAAUGAAGUGCUGUCUGCAUAACUCCACUGGGACAGGACAGUUGGAAGCUCACACCUACUGUCUCCUGAGCCCUGCCUCAGGCGCCUCUUCCCUUGGCUGAUUUUAAUCUGUAUCCUUUCACUGUGAUAAACGAUAACGCUGAGUGUAACAGAUUCUUUGAUUCUAAGAGUUCUUCUAGCAAAUUAUUGAGUCUGACAGUGGUCUUGGUAACCUCAAACUAUAACGAGUCACACAGGUUUGCAAUGAUUUGUUAGAGUAUUUCUCUACAUGAGCUGUGAGCUAUUCAAAGACCAAGACCAUGUUCAUUCCAUUCAUGAGCCCAGCAUGAGGACCCUGCACCUGGCUCAGCCUCUGCAAUUUAAUAACAGGCAUUGCCUGAGUUUAUGUUAACUGGCUCUCACUUUGGCUUCUUUCCAUCUCCCAGUGCCCUGCCUGCUUCCUUUCAUCGUAGGAAAGCUAAAGCUCCUUUCUUAGUGGGAAAUUUCCUUGAUUCCUGGAAGGAAGAGGAAGCAGAAGCUUCUCUGAGUGGGAAUCCCAGAUCUGCCAGUUAGUUGUUGCUGUGUGAUCUUGAGCAAGUUACCCAACCUCUCUGUGCCUCAGCUUCUUUAUCAGUAAAAUGGGCAUAACACACACCACCCUAGACUUAUUAUGUGAUUUCAAUGUGGUUAUAUGUGCAAAAACACCCAGCACAGGGCUGGGGCUUAGGAAGCACUCAAUCAAUGUUAGUGCCCAUGUUAGUUACUGUUCCCCUCCAGGAAGCCCUCCUGGAGUCAACAGAUAGCUAGGGCCUCCUUACCAGUGCAGGUGACCCCAACAUCCUCAUUGUGAGCGCAGUUGUGCUUUCCCCAGGGAGCAGCAGGGCAGUCGGACAGUGAAGCCUCGGUCCCCACACAGCCCACAUCAUCUAGCCAGAUGGGGCCCGCACCCCAGCCAAAGCGGCCAGCAGCAGGGUCUGGCUGCUGAGGUCCACCACAGCCCAGCUCCCGGCAGACCACAGCUGAAUCCCGCAUGUCCCAGCUAUCGUCACACACGGUCCCCCAGCGCUGGUCAUGCCACACCUCCAGUCGACCUGAGCACUUGCUGGGCCCAGCCACCAGGCGCAGCUGGGGGGACCCUGGGGUAGAAGAGACCCAAAGAAUUAGAGUCGGGGAAGCCGCCCAGCCUCCUGACUCUUCAUCCACCUUUCCCUCCCCCCAUCUUCCUUUCCACUCAUCCAUCUAGGCCUUCCCUCCAUUCAUCCAUCCUUUCCUCCAGGCAGCAAGUAUUUCAUGAGGCCUUUUUUGUGCCAUUUUCUGCAUUAGGCAUGAGGGAUAAUGAGUCAGGCAGAGUUUGGAGGAUCCUCAAAAAGCUACACAUCAAAUUACCAUAUAAUCUAGAAAGUCUGCUACUAGGGAUAUACCCAGAAUAAACUGAAAACAGGUAUUCACACAGAUACCAGUAUGUGAAUGUUCAUAGCAGCACCAUUCACAGUAGCCAAAUAGUAGUGGUUGUACAGCAUUUUGAAUGUAUAAAUACCACUUAAGUUGUAUACUUAAACUGGUUAACUUUAUGUUACAUGAAUGUCACCUCAAUUAAAAUAAGUCUUUUUCCAUGCAGUUGUUCAC